AUUGAACGCUUGCGGCAGGCCUAACACAUGCACGUCGAGCGAGCUGCGGACGGGUGAUUAAUGUAUGGGGACUUCCCGAUGGAGGGGGAUAACUACUGGAAACGGUCGCUAAUACCGCAUACUUUCAGAUAACCCAUAUGGGAUUAUCUAGUAGGUGAGGUACUGGCUCACCUAGGCGACGAUCCCUCGCUGGUCUGAGAGGAUGAUCAGCCACACUGGGACUGAGACACGGCCCAGACUACUACGGAGGCAGCAGUGGGGAAGAUUGCACAAUGGGCGCAAGCCUGAUGCAGCCAUGCCGCGUGUAUGAAGAAGGCCCUAGGGUUGUAAAGUACUUUCAGUCGGGAGGCGUUACCGACAGAAGAAGCACCGGCUAACUCCGUGCCAGCAGCCGCGGUAAUAC
rnacentral:rRNA from 1 species